UACGAAGGGGGCUAGCGUUGUUCGGAAUUACUGGGCGUAAAGCGCACGUAGGCGGAUAUUUAAGUCAGGGGUGAAAUCCCAGAGCUCAACUCUGGAACUGCCUUUGAUACUGGGUAUCUUGAGUAUGGAAGAGGUAAGUGGAAUUGCGAGUGUAGAGGUGAAAUUCGUAGAUAUUCGCAGGAACACCAGUGGCGAAGGCGGCUUACUGGUCCAUAACUGGCGCUGAGGUGCGAAAGCGUGGGGAGCAAACAGG
rnacentral:rRNA from 1 species